AUGAGUAAAUACACUCUUAAAAAUAAAGGUGCUUCACGAUGCCAUAGAAGAACCUUUUUGUCUAAAUGGUUCCAUAAAGAACCUUUAACAUCUGAAAAAGGUUCUUCAGAUUAUAAAAAGGUAAGAUCGCUUGAAGAACCUUUUGAAGCACCUUUAUUUUUAAGAGUGUAUACGUGUACAUUUCUCUCAGCAGUAACAGACGGGACUCACAAAGUUAUGUUAAGGUUUCACCAACAAUCUUCUCAAAACGAGGAAGAUAAUGAUAGCAGUGAACAGGAAUCAAACACAGAAGAUGACACUGCCAGCAUCCUGAAGACUGAGGUGAGAACAUCAGAUCAUAGGAUACAACAAAAUGAUAAAAUAAUAGUAACCGGUCAUUGUAUUACUGCAAUCCACUUUUCAGGACCAAAGUGAUUCUGAUGAACCAAAUGAGAGACGCUUGUACACAGGAAGGUACAAAGUCUUACCAAAGGGGUUACAAAAGGAAGACAAGAAGCUGAAGGAACACCCCAAAAGAAAUAAGGUCAAUAUUAAUUGGCUCAAAAUGUACAAAAAUACCAUUCAAGUUAAUGUAUCAGCCUCAAGCCCAACAGCAUUAAAGUUAUUAAUAAUAAAGCCAAUAAUCUAACCUAACAGUUCAGACUGUGACCGAACUCUGUUUUGAUCUCUAUAUAGUGUCUUUUCUUGCUGCAGUCAGUGAUCGCAGGGAGUCUAGUGACAGCAGUGGGUGUGCUGUCUUACUGGUGGGCCACAGACACCCUGGACUGGAUCUACUGAAUUCACAUGGAUCUUGGAUAUUCAAUAUGAUUCAAAACCCAAAAUAAAUAUCAAGGCCUCUGCAAGUAUGAUAGAGAAACCACUGCACAAGGCCAUGCAAAAUCUCAUGAAACAGACACACCAGCAGCUUGAGAUAAAACCAACUUUAUUUCCUUACAGAAUGCAACCUAUUAUUGUAAUGUUUGAACAGCGCUUUGAAAUACAGUUUGAAAAAUGUUUGUCUUUUAACAUGGUUUUUCCUGUUUUCUUAUGUAAACUACAUCUAGAUAGAUUAAUCUCCCUCCUUUUUACUAGGAAAAGUGAUACAUUUGCAGAUGUACGUGGUCUCUGGGCCCUACAGGAAUCCUGUACAAACAAGUGCUUUCAGAGUAAAACUGACCUAAAAAAACUAAACAAAUAAAUACUUUUGAUACCUUUUCAGUUCUUUUAUCUCUGACUGCAGUUAAAGGGGCUUUCUUUCAUUGCCAUUUCUUUCUAAUCUCAUUUGUCAUCCUAUUAGGUUGUCAACAAGCUAUAUUCCAUAAACAUGCCAUGCAUUUAAUGUAUUUUUUUAGGUCUGAUUAUUAUUAUUCAGGGUCUUCACUACAGCAUAAAACAUGACAUCAUAGUGCAAGUUACCAAUUCUAGAAAAUUAAAACCGAU
rnacentral:lncRNA from 1 species